rnacentral:rRNA from 1 species
GACGAACGCUGGCGGCGUGCUUAACACAUGCAAGUCGAACGGAAAGGCCCCUUUGGGGGUCCUCGAGUGGCGAACGGGUGAGUAACACGUGAGUAACCUGCCCUUGACUUCGGGAUAACUUCAGGAAACUGGGGCUAAUACCGGAUAGGAAUCCUUGCUGCAUGGUGGGGGUUGGAAAGCUUCGGCGGUUUUGGAUGGACUCGCGGCUUAUCAGCUUGUUGGUGGGGUAGUGGCUUACCAAGGCUUUGACGGGUAGCCGGCCUGAGAGGGCGACCGGCCACAGUGGGACUGAGAUUCGGCCCAGACUCCUACGGGAGGCAGCAGUGGGGAAUAUUGCACAAUGGGCGGAAGCCUGAUGCAGCAACGCCGCGGGCGGGAUGACGGCCUUCGGGUUGUAAACCGCUUUCAGCAGGGGCGAAGCUUGUGGUGACGGUACCUGCAGAAGAAGCACCGGCUAACUACGUG